rnacentral:rRNA from 1 species
UGCAGUCGAGCGAUGGAUUAGGAGCUUGCUCUUAUGAAGUUAGCGGCGGACGGGUGAGUAACACGUGGGUAACCUGCCCAUAAGACUGGGAUAACUCCGGGAAACCGGGGCUAAUACCGGAUAACAUUUUGAACNGCAUGGUUCGAAAUUGAAAGGCGGCUUCGGCUGUCACUUAUGGAUGGACCCGCGUCGCAUUAGCUAGUUGGUGAGGUAACGGCUCACCAAGGCAACGAUGCGUAGCCGACCUGAGAGGGUGAUCGGCCACACUGGGACUGAGACACGGCCCAGACUCCUACGGGAGGCAGCAGUAGGGAAUCUUCCGCAAUGGACGAAAGUCUGACGGAGCAACGCCGCGUGAGUGAUGAAGGCUUUCGGGUCGUAAAACUCUGUUGUUAGGGAAGAACAAGUGCUAGUUGAAUAAGCUGGCACCUUGACGGUACCUAACCAGAAAGCCACGGCUAACUACGUGCCAGCAGCCGCGGUAAUACGUAGGUGGCAAGCGUUAUCCGGAAUUAUUGGGCGUAAAGCGCGCGCAGGUGGUUUCUUAAGUCUGAUGUGAAAGCCCACGGCUCAACCGUGGAGGGUCAUUGGAAACUGGGAGACUUGAGUGCAGAAGAGGA